ensembl:lncRNA
UCACUCUGAGCCCAAUACCAUCCCAUACACCGGGCUCUUUCCUAGGGGGCACUUGUAGUUGCCCCUAUCAGACUCUUUUCUGGCUCUUGAGGCAUGGAGGGAGCAUGGAAGAGCAGGAAGACAAAAAGAACCAAGAAUAUCACGGGAAGGAGGAACCUGCAUUGCCAUGGUUUUCCUCUGUUGUUUAGCACAAUAAAACGAACUCUAUAUCAUCAUAAUUCCUGCUGACCUCUCAGCCGCUGAGCCCUCAACCUCUCGCGUCCACCCCCUUAGCUGGCUGCUCUGUCUCGCACAGGUCGCGACCAGCGCUCGGGGCAGUCCGUGACGUCAUGGCUCGCGGCUCCCUCCACCCCUCCCCUCCCCAGACUGAGGAGAGCCAGGCUGGCUUCCUCUGUCUUCUCAAAGGCUCCCUGGGGUGGGAAAUCAAAUGAAUUCACAGCAGGACAUGGGUCUGUUUCAGGUUGGCUCCAGAGGGAAAUGUGGCGUAGCACUGAUUUGAAUACAAACAAUCUUGAAACAUUUACACUCCGGCGCAUCUACUCUUGCAGGAGAGACAACACAUCCUGGGACUCACCCAGAAAAUUAUGUCAGAAAGCUUUUACAUCCAUGUCAACUAGGGAGUAGAAGAUCCCCAACUAGAAAUCUCAUCUCUGAACUACCAGCUGAGAAGCCUUACCAGAACAAGAUACAUUCAAAUCACGUCAACUUCGAACAUGAUCUAUGUUAUGAGCCUCUUAUCCUCUGAUUUCCAAGUUGGAGAACUGGAUUUUUAUCUGCCACACGAGAUGAGGAAACGGAGGCAAACGGGAUCAAGUGACUUGUUCAGAUAUUUGAACUCAGGUCUUCCUAACUCCGGGUCCAGCACUCUAUCCACUGAACCACCUAGUAGCCCUUGGUCAAUCUAGGUAAGAAGGAAAAAUCAUGUCCCCCUGUGUUAUUUUUUUUAAGCCUUCUCUUCUGUCUUAGUAUCAUUCCUACAUAUUAAUUCCAAGGCAGAAGAGCAGUAAGGGUUAGGUAAUGGGGGUUAAGUGGCUUGCCCAGGGUCACCCAGCUAGGAAGUAUCUGAAUCCAGUUUUGAACCCAGGACCUCCAGAUUCUGGCACUGUAUCUAACCAGCUGCCCUCCUAUAAACUGUUUUUAACUUGAGUUUCUGAUGCUUCAAUAUUUGCUUAAAAUGCUUAAAAUUUGGCAUACAUCCUAGUGAGUGGUUUUCUUACCUUAAAAAUGUGUGUAUUUCUUUAAAUGUCAUAUUUUAAAGUGCCCUAUUUUGUUCCAGUUGUAUGUCACACCCUAACUAAGUAGCUACCUGCCUUUCCCAAUCCUGGUUCCAGCCUCACUGCACAAGCAGUUGGAAUACUUGUGUUUUAUUGAUCAGGGUACUCUCUCCCAUGGACACCGAUGAAGACACAGCAAUCAAUUCUCAUUCACUGAUUCAUCUUUUUCAACAUUUUUCAAGGCACACCAAACCCCUAUCAUUACAAUUCUUCUCCAUGAUAGAUAUUACAAUUCCCAGGAGUUCAGUUUAUCUCACCCUUGGAUCAUAAGAUGUAGAAGAAGGGGUCUAAAGAUCAUCUAGCUCAAAUGCUUCAUUUUAUAAGAAAUUGAGAUCCAGAGAGGCAAAGAGCAACUACUUGGUCAAGUAAGGGCAUCUGCUGGUGCAGUAGAUAGAGCACUGAGCCUGGAGUCAGGAAGACCUGAAUUCAAAUGUGAUCUUAGACACUUUCUUUCUGAGUGACCCUGGACAGUUCAUUUCAGCCUGCUUGCCUCAGUUUCCUCACCUGCAAA